CACGAAUUUAGCCGGGGCUUAUUCUGAUGGUACAGUCAUUAUCUUCCCAUCUAAAAGAGCUUUACAACCCUAAGGCCUUCAUCACUCACGCGGCAUGGCUGGAUCAGGCUUUCGCCCAUUGUCCAAUAUUCCUUACUGCUGCCUCCCGUAGGAGUCUGGACCGUGUCUCAGUUCCAGUGUGGGGGAUCAUCCUCUCAGACCCCCUAUAGAUCGUCGGCUUGGUAGGCCAUUACCCCCACCAACUACCUAAUCUAACGCGGGCCAAUCCUUAGGCGAUAAAUCUUUGAUCCAGAGAUAUUAUACGGUAUUAGCACAAGUUUCCCUGUGUUGUUCCGUACCUAAGGGCAUGUUCCCACGCGUUACGCACCCGUGCGCCGCUGACCCCGAAGGGCCCGCUCGACUUGCAUGUAUUAAGCCUGCCGCCAGCGUUCGUCUGAGCCAGGAUCAAACUCU
rnacentral:rRNA from 1 species